UAUAUAUAAAAAAUAAAAGAGUAUAAGAUAGAAGAAGGAAGAAAGAAUAAGAAAUAAACAAAAGGAAAGAGAAAGAGUAGAAGAAGAAAAAAAACAUGACAAAAGAAGAAAGAGAAAGGCAUAAAUAAUUGGUUCUUAAUGUCCCACACAGUGUUGUGAUUGCUUCAAAAUUAGAGUAUAAACAAUUUUUUAAAAUAUUUUUCCAGCAAAACAUAUUAAAAAAGAGACACCAAAAUUUGAACUUUCUUAAUAAGUGUGAGAUAUUUACCUUCCAUUAUAAACAAUUACAGAGGAAUUAUAUAAUAAGAAAAGUAUGUGCCUGCGUGCUUCUAUAUGUCGUUAAAUAAAAUAAGCAACUAGAUUGAGACCCUUGCAAUUAACGGGUGUCGAAAAUUUGUAAACUCCCUUUAAAACCAUGUAUAUUGACUUUGGUAAUUUUGCGCUGAACAAUAUUUUUAUACUUUUGGAGUUUAUUUUAAAACUUCGAAGUAAAACAUAAAAAGAAUGUUAACUAAAUAAUUAUGAAGGAAGAAAUAAGAGUAUGUUGGAUUGAUAAAUGAUCAAGUUCUUCAGAGAAAAAUACAUGGAUGAGAGAUACCACGAUGUGCACUUUAAUUUAUCCAUUACAAAAAAAAAACUACUUACUAUGAAUUUACAUUUUUUUUUAAUAAUACUCUUGAAAUUUUUAAUUUCACUUUAAAAUAUAAUUAGCCUUACGAAAAAUGAAAUGGUUAAUUAUGGAUGUAUAUAGAGAAAUAGUAUUCGUACAGAAAAGGUUACAACGGUACUCACAACUUAAAUAAUUGGAAAUGCAUAACCAUUUCAAAAAUCCAUCUUAUUGAAUGUCUUCUAGAUUUAGGUUUAAUUAUUGCAACUAUUAGAAAAAAUAGAUGACUUUAUUGGUAAAUGCAUUUCUAAAAUAUAAAUGUUUAUUAUAAAUAUUAUUAAUACUUAUUUCACUAUUUAUUGGAAUAUGAAAGCUAUUUCACUUAUUUGAAUGACAUGUUUCUUAGUGUUGAAGAUGUUAGUGUUAUGAUAUAAAGUUAGUUCAUGAUUACAUUCUAUCAGAGUCAUUAUGACCAAGUUAUCUGGAGUUUGAUUUUUGUUGCGGCCGUUGUUGUAAAAAACAGAUUUAAGUUAUUAAUACACAAAUUAUGUAUCCAAAUCUUUACUACAAAUUUUCUAUAUUAAAAAGUAGAUUAUUGUAUUUUGAAAGAGACGAUUUUAAUUCUAGGAAAUAUGCAAAAUUCAUAUAAUGGAAUUGCCGUUAAGGAUCUAAUAUUAGCAUUAUUUACGGUACUUUUAAUUUUGGUUUAACUUGUUUAUACGUUUCUUCCAUAUAAUUUAGAAGCAAUACUAUAAAACCCAUCAAACUACUCCUCCUAUACUACACUAUCAACUGGUACGUCAUGUGGAACUGAGUGGAGUUCUAUACAACCAACCUUCUAGUUUAUCAUUUACUCAAAUAAUUUAUGUUAUAUGUUUAUAUUGUUUUUUAAAAGAUAAAUUAGUGUACAAAUAAAGACGUGAUCCUACAUUGAAUAAAAAUUCAAUAUUCUUGUGUUUAGCAACAAAACAAAAAAAGAGUUUGUACCGAAUGCAGAUAACCACUAGGAAUGAGACUAUCCAAAUGCUUUGCCAAGUGGUUAUGAGAGAAGUAAAUUACAUAUUUAGAAAACCAUAGAAAAGAGAAAGAGGAAAGAAUGAAUUAGAAAGAAAGAAUAUCAAAGAGAAAGAUAAGAAGAAAAAAUAACUGGAGAGUGAGAAAGAAGAAAAAAGAAAAGAGAAAAAAAAGAAAGAGAAGUAAAUAAGAGGGGAAUAAACUAUAUAUUUAUAUAUAAAAAAUAAAAGAGAAUAAGAUAGAAGAAGGAAGAAAGAAUAAGAAAUAAAGAAAAGGAAAGAGAAAGAGUAGAAGAAGAAAAAGAACAUGACAAAAGAAGAAAGAGCUUAAAGUCCCACACAGUGUUGUGAUUGCUUCAAAAUUAGAGUAUAAACAAUUUUUUAAAAUAUUUUUCCAACAAAACAUAUUAAAAAAGAGACACAAAAAUUUGAACUUUCUUAAUAAGUGUGAGAUAUUUACCUUCCAUUAUAAACAAUUACAGAGGAAUUAUAUAAUAAGAAAAGUAUGUGCCUGCGUGCUUCUAUAUGUCGUUAAAUAAAAUAAGCAACUAGAUUGAGACCCUUGC
rnacentral:lncRNA from 1 species